UGUGGCUGCAUCUGGAGUUCCUGAUGACCAUCAUGGGGCCAUGGCAUGUCAGCAAUGGGAUGACUGCAGAACCAGCGAGGAAAUGCAUGGUGUUUUGGCAUCUGUAAUGGAAAAAGAGCAAUAUUCAGCAUCUCCAGGUUUCCAUUUAUUCCAAACCUCUGAGGUGUCAUGAUGAAAGUCAUUCUUUAGGAUAAAUCAUCUAGCUAAAAUUGCAGUGAGGAGAGAGAAAAUGUAAGUAAGAAUACUGUACUUCUCUUAG
rnacentral:lncRNA from 1 species